CCCUUAGAUGUUCUGGGCCGCACGCGUGCUACACUGAGUAAAUCAAUGGGUAAGGGAACACGAAAGUGCAACCUAAUCUUGAAAUUUGCUCGUGAUGGGGAUCGACGGUUGCAAUUUUCCGUCGUGAACGAGGAAUACCUUGUAGGCGCGUGUCAUCAUCACGCGCCGAAUACGUCCCUGCCCUUUGUACACACCGCCCGUCGCUACUGCCAACUGAGAUGGGUCCUGAAUUGUUAGGAACGCCCGUCAAGGGGCCUACCCGGUCCCUAGUGCGGUGACGAGAAUAACUGUAAAUGGCAUAUCUUGUAGGGAGUAAAAGUCGUAACA
rnacentral:rRNA from 1 species